GACAGAGGGUGCAAACGUUGUUCGGAAUUACUGGGCGUAAAGCGUGUGUAGGCGGCUAUGUAAGUCGGAUGUGAAAGCCCUGGGCUCAACCCAGGAAGUGCACUCGAUACUGCGUAGCUUGAGUACCGGAGAGGUUGGUAGAAUUCUCGGUGUAGAGGUGAAAUUCGUAGAUAUCGAGAGGAAUACCGGUGGCGAAGGCGGCCAACUGGACGAGUACUGACGCUGAGACACGAAAGCGUGGGGAGCAAACAGG
rnacentral:rRNA from 1 species